rnacentral:rRNA from 1 species
AACAAACGCUGGCGGCGUGCCUAACACAUGCAAGUCGUACGAGAAAGGGUCCUUCGGGGCCUGAGUAAAGUGGCGCACGGGUGAGUAACGCGUGGAUAAUCUGCCCUUCAGUUGGGAAUAACUCAUCGAAAGGUAGGCUAAUACCGAAUAAUGCUGUGAGACCUCGGUUGAUCAGCCAAAGAGAGCCUCUGCUUGCAAGCCCUCGCUGAAGGAUGAGUCCGCGUACCAUUAGCUAGUUGGUAGGGUAAUGGCCUACCAAGGCGACGAUGGUUAGCUGGUCUGAGAGGAUGAUCAGCCACACUGGAACUGAGACACGGUCCAGACUCCUACGGGAGGCAGCAGUGAGGAAUCUUGCGCAAUGGGGGCAACCCUGACGCAGCAACGCCGCGUGAGUGAGGAAGGUCUUCGGAUCGUAAAGCUCUGUCGGAUGGAAAGAACCGCAUAGGGGUAAACAGCCCCUGUGUCUGACGGUACCGUCAAAGGAAGCACCGGCUAACUCCGUGCCAGCCGCCGCCGUAAGAC